UCCAUGGCCUCCUCUUUUCAUCCACUGCAUCCUCACACUCUCCUCCUCACUGUGUCCAUGGCCUCCUCUUUUCAUCCACUGCAUCCUCACACUAAUAGCCUCCCCACGUUGGUAGUGUCACUGCCCUCCUCCCCUUGCUCACUACCUCCAGCCAUCUUCCCGGCCUUCCCUUCACUGCCCCCUCUCCUCCCUGCCACAUUCAUGCCUCCCUCCCCUCUUCCACUACAUCUGUAGCACCCCACCCCCUAGAUUAGGUAAGGAUUUAGUAGCUGAGCUGAGUUUUAGUAGCAUCUCAUGCUACAGUUCAUAAGAUACUAUUAAACCCUGUUUAUCUACCAACAACAUGCCUUUUCCUAAAUUUGAUAAAUUUUGUUAGACCUGUUAAUAUAAAGAAUUCAAUUUAAUUCAUAUGACUUAGAAAUCAUCUCCAGGAUUUCAUUCCUUAUACCAUAU
rnacentral:lncRNA from 1 species